CCCACUCAAAGUUCAGGUGGCUUAUGAAUCAGUUCUGACUUCUACUUUCUGCUUGAGCAAAGCUGCACAUUGAGCCAGGUGAGUAGACAGCUGGAGGCCUCUCUGCUCUCUCCUGAGCAUGUGCAGCUCUCCAGACACCCAUGAAUAUGUGGGAGCUUAUCAAGGUCUACUAUGGCUGUUCCAUUCCCCAGAUUACCAAGUAAAAUCUCCAGCUAGUCUUAUGAUUGCCCCUGCCAACACUGCAGCUUCAGGCAGCUAUAAUGUUAUCCUUUAGUCAUUUGAUGUUCAGAUUGCUAUUGUUUUAUAUAUAGUUUUCCCUCCGUAUCAAUGGGUUUUGCAUCCAUGGACUCAACCAACUGCAUAUUGAAAAUAUUCAGGAAAUAAAAAAGGAAGGUUGCGUCUCUACUGAAGGGAGAUAAGGGCUCCCUUUUUGUAAACUUUAUAGGAUUUUUUUGACUCUAAACUAUAUGCAUGUACUACUUUGCUAACAUUUAAAGAAAAGACUAACUGCAACUCACAGAAAAAGAAACAUUACUGGCCAGUAAAUAUGACGGGGGUGGGAGGCAGCCCUGUAAGUGAAAUUUUAAAAUGCAAUGAUAAUAGACAAUACUUACAUGGCAUCUAUUAUAAGCUAGACACUAAGUGCUACAUAUGUAUUAAUUCAUUUAAUUACAACAGCCCUUGCGCAAGGUAACUAUUUAUUCUCUCAUUUUACAGACUGGGAAACCGAGACACAAUUACUGGCCAAGUAAGGAUUGGAAAAAGACAACUCCAGAGUCCACAUGUUUCAUUACUAUUCUAAACUGCCUCAAAACUUAUUAGGUAGAAAUGGAAAUAAACAGUUUGGUAGGAACGGUAAGCAGACACUCAAACACAGGUGGUAGGAGAACAAAUGAAUAAUACUAGAGGGCAACUAGAGAAUAUUUAUCAAAUGUCUCUAAACAGAGGCUUUCAAAGGGGUGUAACAACAAAAUGACAUAAUUUCAAUGGAGAAAAAGUGUCAAUAUCUAUCAAAAAUACAAAUGCAUGCAUAUAUAUGUAUGGUCCUAUUAUACGUAUCAUCCUCCUUUAAUCAAGCAAUUCUAAGAAUUCAUCCUAUAUAUAAAUGUAUGCAUUUCAUAAAAUAACAUGUAAGAUUAUACUAACAGAAGACUGAAAGGAGCCUGAACAGCCAUCAAGAGGAAUCAGUAGGCUUACUAAAUAUAUGAACUCUUGAAUCUGCUUAGGUAAGUAACCCAUGAUAAUUAAAUACAUCUUAUUUAAACAGUAUUAAAACAUCCUUGGCCGGGAGUGGUGGUUCACACCCGCAAUCAACCCCAGCACUUCGGGAGGCCGAGGCGAACAUAUCACUUGAGGCCAGGAGUUCAAGACCAGCUUGGCGAACAUGACCAAACCCUGUCUCUAGUAAAAAUACAAAAAUUAGCCAGGCAUGGUAGCACGUGAGCCUGUAGUCCCAGCUACUUGGGAGACUGAGGCACGAGAA
rnacentral:lncRNA from 1 species